rnacentral:rRNA from 1 species
AUUGAACGCUGGCGGCAUGCCUUACACAUGCAAGUCGAACGGUAACAGGUCUUUCGGGAUGCUGACGAGUGGCGAACGGGUGAGUAAUACAUCGGAACGUGCCUAGUAGUGGGGGAUAACUACUCGAAAGAGUGGCUAAUACCGCAUGAGAUCUAUGGAUGAAAGCAGGGGACCUUCGGGCCUUGUGCUACUAGAGCGGCCGAUGGCAGAUUAGGUAGUUGGUGGGAUAAAAGCUUACCAAGCCUACGAUCUGUAGCUGGUCUGAGAGGACGAUCAGCCACACUGGGACUGAGACACGGCCCAGACUCCUACGGGAGGCAGCAGUGGGGAAUUUUGGACAAUGGGGGAAACCCUGAUCCAGCAAUGCCGCGUGCAGGAUGAAGGCCUUCGGGUUGUAAACUGCUUUUGUACGGAACGAAAAGUCUUGGGUUAAUACCCUGGGAUCAUGACGGUACCGUAAGAAUAAGCACCGGCUAACUACGUG